ACAAAACAUCGUGUGAUAAUAUACGAUAAACGGGGAAAUAAGACACAAUUCAAUUUGUGUGGUUUCCAAUGGUUCACACUCGACUAGUAAUGUACAAUAAUAUCACAUGUAAUAAUUAACAAUUACGUAGUGUGUAAAUAAGCUUUGGUCCUUUGGUAGACGUUUGCCGUACCUAAAUAAAGAAUCAUGGUCUAAGUUUGCGCACUAGUACGCUCUUUCCUACGACGACGCACGAACGACCGUUUUUAACCGUAAAACAUAUCAUGUCAACAAGUAUGCCAGUGUCCUCUUACGAUAAACGACAUCAUCGCUGAUGAAUUAAACGGUUGACCGUAGAGUCACUUUUCAUUAAGCGGUUUUUCUAGUGAAUACUGUAAUUGAUGUGUUAUAACAAUUUCGAGCAACAGUUUAAAAAGAAGUUUUCCUUCAAAUUUGGGGCUCAGUCCCACGGAAACUUUUCGAAAACAGUAGCAAGCUUAUGGUUA